rnacentral:rRNA from 1 species
GAGUUUGAUCCUGGCUCAGGAUGAACGCUAGCGGCAGGCUUAACACAUGCAAGUCGAGGGGUAACGGGGAAGCUUGCUUCCGCCGACGACCGGCGCACGGGUGCGUAACGCGUAUACAAUCUACCUUGUACUGGGGUAUAGCCUUUAGAAAUGAAGAUUAACCCCCCAUAGUCUCUUAGAGUGGCAUCACUUCUAGAGUAAAGGUUACGGUAUAAGAUGAGUAUGCGUUCUAUUAGUUUGUUGGUGUGGUAACGGCACACCAAGACUACGAUAGAUAGGGGCCCUGAGAGGGGGAUCCCCCACACUGGUACUGAGACACGGACCAGACUCCUACGGGAGGCAGCAGUGAGGAAUAUUGGACAAUGGAGGCAACUCUGAUCCAGCCAUGCCGCGUGCAGGAAGACUGCCCUAUGGGUUGUAAACUGCUUUUAUACAGGAAGAAACACCUCUACGUGUAGAGGCUUGACGGUACUGUAAGAAUAAGGAUCGGCUAACUCCGUGCCAGCAGCCGCGGUAAUACGGAGGAUCCAAGCGUUAUCCGGAAUCAUUGGGUUUAAAGGGUCCGUAGGUGGAUAAUUAAGUCAGAGGUGAAAUCUUGCAGCUCAACUGUAAAAUUGCCUUUGAAACUGGUUAUCUUGAGUUAUUAUGAAGUAGUUAGAAUAUGUAGUGUAGCGGUGAAAUGCAUAGAUAUUACAUAGAAUACCAAUUGCGAAGGCAGAUUACUAAUAAUCAACUGACACUGAUGGACGAAAGCGUGGGUAGCGAACAGGAUUAGAUACCCUGGUAGUCCACGCCGUAAACG